UACGUAGGGUGCAAGCGUUAAUCGGAAUUACUGGGCGUAAAGCGUGCGCAGGCGGUGAUGUAAGACAGGUGUGAAAUCCCCGGGCUCAACCUGGGACCUGCAUUUGUGACUGCAUCGCUAGAGUACGGCAGAGGGGGAUGGAAUUCCGCGUGUAGCAGUGAAAUGCGUAGAUAUGCGGAGGAACACCGAUGGCGAAGGCAAUCCCCUGGGCCUGUACUGACGCUCAUGCACGAAAGCGUGGGGAGCAAACAGG
rnacentral:rRNA from 1 species